AUACGUAGGUGGCAAGCGUUGUCCGGAAUUACUGGGCGUAAAGGAUGCGUAGGCGGAUAUGUAAGUCAGAUGUGAAAUACCCGGGCUCAACUUGGGUGCUGCAUUUGAAACUAUGUUUCUUGAGUGUCGGAGAGGAAAGUGGAAUUCCCAGUGUAGCGGUGAAAUGCGUAGAUAUUGGGAAGAACACCAGUGGCGAAGGCGACUUUCUGGACCGUAACUGACGCUGAGGCAUGAAAGCGUGGGUAGC
rnacentral:rRNA from 1 species